AGGGUAAAACGGGUCAAUUUGACACAAACCAAACACAAGGGUUGAGUGUUAGGUACAGAGCCUGAAAACAGGGACAAACAAAUGAUAUUCUGCAUAGGACUACCCAGAGGUGGGAGGAGCUGAAACUAGCUUGGUGGCAAUGCACCUAAUGUACCGGGCCUAAAUAGCGCUAUGACUGCUGAAAAGAAAACAGAAGUGAUGGAGGAAGCGAUAUGCCCUUCUCAUCAAGACUACAAUAUCUUUUAAUCAGUACAGAGGCUGGAUAAGGUCAGCCUGCUGUUACUGCUCAUUUUUAUUACAAGAUGGCAAGAUGUCAUGAGGUCACACAUUCAUGUUAACUCCAAGAAUAUAUGUUGAAUUUCUUUAAAUCGGACAAUAUCAUACUUUUAUUUGGUGUUUUGAAAUCACUUUUAUUCUCAAUGAUAGGCCACGGUCUGAAAGAACCUGUUUCACAGCAACUUGCCAAGAGUGACAUAUCUUAUUCAACCUUUGUGAUCUCUAUCUCAGUGAUUUAUAAUAUUAUUCCUUUGAUGUUCAAUUUUUUUUUCUGCAAGGUCAGGCUUACUGCACAAGCAAAUAGAGUACAUGGCUGGGGUACAGCCCAAACUCACAGUGAAUGAACAUUUGAGUUUAAUCAUUUGGAAAGAGCAAAAUCCUUUCAAUCUACUGUUUAUGGAAAUGUACAUUAAAAUAGAAUUUAUUUAUUUACCUAUCUAUCAAAUAACUCAGUACAGGAGAGAGAUAAAUGAAAUGACCGUGGGCUUAAGAUUCUGAUUCUUCUGAUUCUCAGCUGCAAUACAUGUGGUCAUUAAUAGCUUUAAAAAUUUCCAUCAAGCAUGAGGCUACAAGUGACUAUUUUUAUGGGUUGUACUCUCAUGCUGUUGAACCAUUGUUCCACACCCACUAAAUAAUUUUAGUUACCUACUCUAGAGCCCUACGACUUGUACUGCAUUGCAAUCUCUCACCUUACACCUACCAAGAAAACAUGGGUCUCUUCCUACUCACAAUCUUGGGAAUACUGAGUAUGCUGAAAAUAAAUGCUAAAGGCGAUAUUCAUCCUGCAAAAAUUUUUGGGAAAAAUUUUGCAAUAGUGGGGGACGAAGUAGAAUUUGUUUGUAGCACCUAUGGUUUGGAGAAGGAGAAUGAUAUCCUGAACAUCUACCUCUGUAAGAACGGGCUGGGAACCCAACAGCAGCUACAAAAGGACAACUUAAAAACCAAGUUUUACAUUAACGAUGUGAAAAAAGAAGAUUCAGGCAACUAUAGCUGUGUUUACUCGAAGACAAAGUACAAACCGAGUGAUGUGAGAGGGAAAGGAGAUACCUCUGUCUUUCUCCAAG